rnacentral:rRNA from 1 species
CCUACGGGAGGCAGCAGUGGGGAAUAUUGGGCAAUGGGCGCAAGCCUGACCCAGCAACGCCGCGUGAAGGAAGAAGGCUUUCUGGUUGUAAACUUCUUUUCUCAGGGACGAAGAACGUGACGGUCCCUGAUGAAUAAGCCACACCUACCUACGUGCCAGCAGCCGCGGUACUACGUAGGUGGCAAGCGUUAUCCGGAUUUAUUGGGUGUAAAGGGCGUGUAGGCGGGAGCGUAAGUCAGAUGUGAAAACUCAGGGCUCAACCCUGAGCCUGCAUUUGAAACUGUGGUUCUUGAGUGCUGGAGAGGCAAGCGGAAUUCCGUGUGUAGCGGUGAAAUGCGUAGAUAUACGGAGGAACACCAGUGGCGAAGGCGGAUUGCUGGACAGUAACUGACGCUGAGGCGCGAAAGCGUGGGGAGCAAACAGGAUUAGAUACCCCUGUAGUC